CACGUAGGGCGCAAGCGUUGUCCGGAAUUAUUGGGCGUAAAGAGCUCGUAGGCGGUCUGUUGCGUCCGCUGUGAAAACUCGGGGCUUAACCCCGGGUCGGCAGUGGAUACGGGCAGGCUAGAGGUAGGUAGGGGAGAAUGGAAUUCCCGGUGUAGCGGUGAAAUGCGCAGAUAUCGGGAGGAACACCGGUGGCGAAGGCGGUUCUCUGGGCCUUACCUGACGCUGAGGAGCGAAAGCGUGGGGAGCGAACAGG
rnacentral:rRNA from 1 species